UUCUGACCCUGGCUUUCUCGUCAGUCUGUCAGUCUCGCUCUAUCCCACUGCGGAAGGGGGUUUGUCAUGAUGGUGUCUCCCACACCUUCCAGCCCGGAUUCGCCUGACUUCCAUCCUGUUUUCUUGCAGACCCCGUGGUGAAGGAGCAGUCCCAGCCCUCUGCAGACAAUGCUGUGCUUUCCAGUGGCCUCACGGCAGCCCGGUGAACACUUGGAAGGCGACGGGUCUGUUGCGGUUCCUCCCACUUUUCCAUAAGCAGAACAAGAACCAAAUCAAACGUCUUAACGUGUGUAGAGAGAUCACGUUCCGUGAGCAGACACAAAAUGGUGGCAGGUUUGGCCAGCACGAACCAGACCAACCGAAGGGCAGCCCACCACCGUAUAUCAAACCUCACUUCUGAAUGUAAAAGGUUCACACGCCUUUGGCUUCCUGUUGACUUCCUCCUGACCCAGAAAGCAUGGGAAAUGUGAAGGGUAUGCAAAAUGGUUGUUGGUUACUGUUGCCCCCCUGCGCCCCCUUGACUCAGCCUGUGGCCACCUGUUUUUCCAGCAGACCACGGUAACUAGCCAACCACAGACUCCACAGUGGGGACACGGGGGCAACAUAUGGCAUGACGGGCAGUUACAUAUUAUAAUUUUAAAAGUAUAUAUUAUUGAAUAAAAGGUUUUAAAAGAAA